UUAAAUAUAAAGAGUCGAGCCUGCCCAGUGAUAUUUUUAACGGCCGCGGUACUCUGACCGUGCAAAGGUAGCAUAAUCAUUUGCCUUAUAAUUAAAGGCUAGUAUGAAUGGUUUGACGAAAACAUGACUGUCUCCUUUUAAUUUUAUAAAACUUGAUUUUUAGGUGAAGAAGCCUAAAUGUAAUUGAUAGACGAGAAGACCCUAUCGAGCUUAAAAAAAUUCUAUUAAUAUAUAAUUAUUAUUAAAAACAAAAUAUAAUAAAAAAUUUUAGUUGGGGCGACUAAGGAACAAAUAAAGCUUCCAUCAUAAUAUUAUAACAUAUAAGUUAUGAUCCAAAAUCUUUGAUUAAAAAAAUUAGUUACCGUAGGGAUAACAGCAUAAUCUUUUUUAAGAGUUCUUAUCGAAAAAAAGGUUUGUGACCUCGAUGUUGGACUAGAAUAUCCUAAAUGAUGCAGAAGUCUUUAAGGGUUGGUCUGUUCGACC
rnacentral:rRNA from 1 species